GGGCCUGUAGCUCAGUUGGUUAGAGCAGAGGACUCAUAAUCCUUUGGUCCACGGUUCAAGUCCGUGCGGGCCCA
rfam:Dechloromonas denitrificans strain ATCC BAA-841 contig010, whole genome shotgun sequence.